ensembl:lncRNA
GUGGAACAUAGGUGCCUGGGACCAUCUUCAAGGCCUGGGGUCAACCUGCCCUUCAUGCAGGUAAAGUGAUCUCAUUGGCCAAUCUAAGUCACAUGUCAGUGUGGGGAUAGUUCUACACAACCAUGAAUUCUGAGAAGGGGUAUUCGUUGGGGGUGGUUAAUGUGAUAAUCUAUCUUGAUAGUCUAUGCAACAUUUCAAAAAUUUAUAACUGUGGGUUUGCUGAAUUGUAGAGUGAUGAUGAUGAAGAUGCUGAUAGUAAUCAUAAUACUAUUUUAAAUAAUGCACACCAUUUUAUUUAGUAUUUAUUAAGUCCAGGGCCUUAAGUGAUACAAUGAGGAAUUUGAUCUUACCAGCAACUCUGCCAGGUCAUUACCAUCCCCGGCUUAUGGAUGAGGAAACCGAGGCUCAGAAAAGGUGAGAUACAUUUCUCUAAGUGCAUCUUGUGGCUGCAAGUGGGAGAGGCAGGGCCUGAAUCUGGCCAAGAGAUCUCAGGACAAAGCUAAAUCGCAUUUCCAAAGCCAGUCCUUAGACUUGUUCAAGUGUAAGCAGCUUUCACUAAACAGAAGUUUGAUGAGCCGAGCAGGAGUGAAUCAGAAACACGAGGCUGAUGUUUGUCUUCAUCUGCAAGGGGGUUUGGCAGUCUCCAGGCUCCCUUGGCAAGCAGGAUUUGGGCGCUGCCAAAACCUGGAGCUCUGGCGUGAUAGCGUGACCCUUCCGGUCAGGCCAGGCCUCCCGCCCGCCUUCCUGCUGUUCAAAUCAGAGUCUCGGCCUCUCAUGGCCUCUCCUGCUGCUUCACCCUUGAGCCCCGAGGACAGAGUGGCAGGAGGCGUCUCUGUAACCACAUCACGUGUGGGGGAAAAAUGGCACAGAGCGCUCUUUCCUGGAGCGCGGUCAAUGCAGCAGUACCCCAGGUGCCAGGAAACCCAAGCCUUGGAAACUGUGGCUGCAGGUUCCAUCCCCAGGUUGUGGGUGUGGACCACAUUUGCACCAGCAGCUGGACAAAGAUGGGAGUCGUGUAGCUAACCUGAAGUGCUAUACUGCCUUCCUUUAGUGACACUCAGAAGAAAAUUAAAUCUUAGGGUCAGCCGUCUUUUGAAGGUAAUUGCUAUUUCAGAGUACCAUUUUGUUUCCUCUGGCAC